CGUAAGCGCGCGUAGGCGGCUUAAUAAGCCGGUUGUGAAAGCCCCGGGCUCAACCUGGGAACGGCAUCCGGAACUGUUAAGCUAGAGUGCAGGAGAGGAAGGUAGAAUUCCCGGUGUAGCGGUGAAAUGCGUAGAGAUCGGGAGGAAUACCAGUGGCGAAGGCGGCCUUCUGGACUGACACUGACGCUGAGGUGCGAAAGCGUGGGUAGCAAACAGGAUUAGAUACCCUGGUAGUCCACGCCGUAAACGAUGUCGACCAGCCGUUGGGUGCCUUGAGCACUUUGUGGCGAAGUUAACGCGAUAAGUCGACCGCCUGGGGAGUACGGCCGCAAGGUUAAAACUCAAAUGAAUUGACGGGGGCCCGCACAAGCGGUGGAGCAUGUGGUUUAAUUCGAUGCAACGCGAAGAACCUUACUUACCCUUGACAUCCUGCGAACC
rnacentral:rRNA from 1 species